AAACUUUCCCCUUUUCAUUUUGUUUCUAGCGGCGGCGCUCCUGCUCCCGGCGAUGCGAUGCUCGUGCUGGUUGGUGGGUCUCGGCCUCGGGGCUCGGGCUCGCGCCUCACGGGACGCGGCAACGCGUGCGACCGCGGCAAACCGCGAGCGUCCACAGCGAGUCGGUGAGCUACCGGCGAUGUGACGCUCUAGAUCCCGGCGGUAGCCUGUGCUGUUGCUGGCGAGUCGCGGGUUCGCAGUCGCAGCCUCGCAGGACACGGCAUCGUGCGUGACCGUGGCAAGCGGAGGGCAGCCGCGGCAAGCCACGGCCCAUGAGCUUCCACGGUGAGCGCGCAGGCAUCCUGUGCACGGCGAGCCGGUGAGCGACUGGCGUUUGCGGAGCUUGAAUCCAGCACGCGGCGGGCGUGCAGAUCCAGGCCUGCAAGCGUUCAUUGCCUCCCUAGGCCCUCUUGCUGUUCUUCAAGGAGAAGCAUAGCGGCAGCUAUCCCUGCUAAAUGGCAUUAGACUAUUCGGAAUUCGUCGCGAAGCUCAGACCCAGGUGCUCUUCCUAUCCAUGUAGUGGGUCCUUGGCUACUAAAGUUUCACAUUUUAGAAGGUGUAGAACACUUUGGUAUUGUACAGUUUAGUGCUUUCACUUAGCACUAGAGGAUGGUUGUGUAUUUUAAGCUUUCACCUAUUUUUUGGUGGCUUCCAUGGAUAUCAAGUGCUAGUUACAUAUGUGGAGACAACCAUAGUUUGAUUUUUAAAUGACAUGAUUGCAUAUGUACUUGAGUUUGACAAUUGAUUGAGUAUGUCUGAUGUCAUCGUUUGUGUAUUAAUCAUUUUAAUAUUGUAUUGGUCUGGAAUGUUUGAUCAAAUGUACAUAAGUUUUAGAUAUAUAAGGUUUUAUUUUUUUUA